UCCCAUGUACUGACCCCUGAUUUACCUUGGCAUGAGUGUAAAGGAGGAUCAGGCCAGUGUCUGCCUCAGAGCCUUUAUCACAUGAAUGCCAUUGUGUAACCAAAACCCUUGUCCUUCGAUCAGGCGGAUCUCAUUUCCCUCUGCACAGCGGAUCCUUUCAGCAGCCCCUAAGUGGUAUCUCAUGAUAAGGCGCACAACAAGGAGAUGCUUCAAUACCAAUAAUCAGAUCAGGACUGGGCAGAUUUAGUAAACAAGCUUUGAAAUGGGGGCCUCCCCUCCCGGCCCUUCCUUCAGCCUGCUCGGAUGCUGAGAUGGCUCAGGAAGUCCCUACGUCACAUACUAUUAAUUAGACCUUUGAUGACACCCCACUGGAUCAAAACCGCUCCCUUGUGCCAUGCUUCCUAGCGACUCUAUAUAACGAGCUUCCAGGGAUACUGGCUAUUCUGUUCACCUACAGGAAGGUGCCUGGAAAAUGGUCAUCACCGUGAGUCCCCGGGGUUUGCUUCUGCUGGUGCUGUUGGCUCUGGCUAUGAGCAGCUGUCCGGGUGCCGGUGCUGGAAACUGGGGCUGCGCGAACUACCGGGGCUACUGCCGCGUUGUCUGUUACCCUCAGGAAAAUUCGGUGGGACCCAAGGACUGUGCGGAAGGUCUCAUCUGCUGCAUCUC